rnacentral:ncRNA from 1 species
CAAGGCCCGACUGUUUACCAAAAACAUAGCCUUCAGCCAAUCAAGUAUUGAAGGUGAUGCCUGCCCAGUGACAUCCUGUUCAACGGCCGCGGUAUCCUAACCGUGCGAAGGUAGCGCAAUCAAUUGUCCCAUAAAUCGAGACUUGUAUGAAUGGCUAAACGAGGUCUUG